GGGGAAUGUGGAACAGCAGGUCUACAUGGAGUCUUAUAACUGUUCGUAAGAGUUUAAAUAAAGUAAUGAAUAAAUAAAGAAAAACCAAUAAGGCCUGGAACAAUAGGGUGGCAGUGACAUCCUUAAUGGAGAACAAAAGUCUAAUAAGGAGAAAUAUUCAACAGUAUACAUUUAAAGGCACAUCAACAAUGAGGCACGUUACCACCACCAAAGAAGACAUCUGCGUCUGCCUGGAAUCCUGUUCCUGAAAUACUAGAAGUUAUCUGCAAAGAGCUGUACUUUGGUUUCACCAGUUUCUACCUGCCACUCUGGAUUUCAUGCCCAUACAGUCAGUCUUCAGUCUUGAUUUUAAUAACUGUGCUGCAGAGAUGUAUUUUAUUCCCCUGCACAAAGGAGGCAACAAUACUAAUAUUACCAACUUCCGGCCCAUCACCACCCUCUCUCCCAUUUCAAAAAUCUUAGAGAAAUGUAUCCAUCUUCAACUCCUUCCUUAUCUCUUAGACAACAACCUA